AACUCUCACUUUCUAACCCUGUGCACUUGUUUGGGAUAGUAACUCUCGCAAGAGAGCGAACUCCUAUUCACUUAUAAACACAAAGUCUAUGAAUGUAUUAAAUUUUAUAACAAAAUAAAACUUUCAACAACGGAUCUCUUGGCUCUCGCAUCGAUGAAGAACGCAGCGAAAUGCGAUAAGUAAUGUGAAUUGCAGAAUUCAGUGAAUCAUCGAAUCUUUGAACGCACCUUGCGCUCCAUGGUAUUCCGUGGAGCAUGCCUGUUUGAGUGUCAUGAAUACUUCAACCCUCCUCUUUCUUAAUGAUUGAAGAGGUGUUUGGUUUCUGAGCGCUGCUGGCCUUUACGGUCUAGCUCGUUCGUAAUGCAUUAGCAUCCGCAAUCGAACUUCGGAUUGACUUGGCGUAAUAAACUAUUCGCUGAGGAAUUCUAGUCUUCGGACUAAAGCCGGGUUGGGUUAAAGGAAGCUUCUAAUCA
rnacentral:misc_RNA from 1 species